AGUGAACGCUGGCGGUAGGCCUAACACAUGCCAGUCGAACGGCAGCACAGUAAGAGCUUGCUCUUACGGGUGGCGAGUGGCGGACGGGUGAGGAAUACAUCGGAAUCUACUUUUUCGUGGGGGAUAACGUAGGGAAACUUACGCUAAUACCGCAUACGACCUACGGGUGAAAGCAGGGGAUCUUCGGGCCUUGCGCGAUUGAAUGAGCCGAUGUCGGAUUAGCUAGUUGGCGGGGUAAAGGCCCACCAAGGCGACGAUCCGUAGCUGGUCUGAGAGGAUGAUCCGCCACACUGGAACUGAGACACGGUCCAGACUCCUACGGGAGGCAGCAGUGGGGAAUAUUGGACAAUGGGCGCAAGCCUGAUCCAGCCAUACCGCGUGGGUGAAGAAGGCCUUCGGGUUGUAAAGCCCUUUUGUUGGGAAAGAAAAGCAGCAGGUUAAUACCCCGCUGUUCUGACGGUACCCAAAGAAUAAGCACCGGCUAACUUCGUG
rnacentral:rRNA from 1 species